UGGGGAAUUUUGGACAAUGGGCGAAAGCCUGAUCCAGCAAUGCCGCGUGUGUGAAGAAGGCCUUCGGGUUGUAAAGCACUUUUGUCCGGAAAGAAAUCCUUGGCUCUAAUACAGUCGGGGGAUGACGGUACCGGAAGAAUAAGCACCGGCUAACUACGUGCCAGCAGCCGCGGUAAUACGUAGGGUGCAAGCGUUAAUCGGAAUUACUGGGCGUAAAGCGUGCGCAGGUGGUUUGCUAAGACCGAUGUGAAAUCCCCGGGCUCAACCUGGGAACUGCAUUGGUGACUGGCAGGCUAGAGUAUGGCAGAGGGGGGUAGAAUUCCACGUGUAGCAGUGAAAUGCGUAGAGAUGUGGAGGAAUACCGAUGGCGAAGGCAGCCCCCUGGGCCAAUACUGACGCUCAUGCACGAAAGCGUGGGGAGCAAAACAGGAUUAGAUACCCUGGUAGUCCACGCCCUAAACGAUGUCAACUAGUUGUUGGGGAUUCAUUUCCUUAGUAACGUAGCUAACGCGUGAAGUUGACCGCCUGGGGAGUACGGUCGCAAGAUUAAAACUUAAAUGAAUUGACGGGGUCAUAGCUGUUUCCU
rnacentral:rRNA from 1 species